UACAGAGGUCUCAAGCGUUGUUCGGAUUCGUUGGGCGUAAAGGGUGCGUAGGCGGCGCGGUAAGUCGGGUGUGAAAUCUCGGAGCUUAACUCCGAAACUGCAUUCGAUACUGCCGUGCUUGAGGACUGGAGAGGAGACUGGAAUUUACGGUGUAGCGGUGAAAUGCGUAGAUAUCGCUUGGAACGCCAAAGGUGAAAACAGGCUGCUGGGGUUGCGCCGACGCUGAGACACGAAAGCCAGGGGAGCAAACGGG
rnacentral:rRNA from 1 species